UUUUCUUCUCAUGGAUUCAUUGGGUAGACUAUACAAAUCAAUAUCACCUGUCAUUACAACAUUCAGGGAAUACUUGGAAGUGGAGUAGGAAAUGAAAAAAGGUAGCAAACGAAGAUUUUCCAAACAGUAAUGGAGGAUUUCAGUGUAAACGUGCCAAAGGCAAGACGGUUCCUGGGAUUGCGGAAUAUAUUUUCUUCAGUAUGUGGCAAGCUUUCUGGAGACACUCAUUGUGAAUUUUGAAGUACCAUUGAAUUUAACUGACUGGUUCUGCCAGUCAUGAAGGCAAUCCUUGACCUCCAGAAACAGCAAAGAGAAAAGGGGACAGAAAGACAUUCAUCUAUUUAAAAGUUCUGUUGUGAAAGGAACAGACCAAUUUCUCAGCAGCUGUUCAAACUGAGAGUUUUGAUGUUGCAUGUAUUUCAUGCACUCUUCUACAUUUGUGACUUUUUCACUAUUUUGGAAAGCUUUGUUAUGUCUUUAUGUUAUGUUCACUACUUUGGAAAGCUUUGCUAUGUAUUAAA